rnacentral:rRNA from 1 species
UACGGGGGGGGCAAGCGUUGUUCGGAAUUACUGGGCGUAAAGCGCGCGCAGGCGGCUAUCCAAGUCAGUGGUGAAAGCCCGGAGCUCAACUCCGGAACUGCCAUUGAAACUGUUUAGCUUGAGUAUGAGAGAGGUGAGUGGAAUUCCCAGUGUAGAGGUGAAAUUCGUAGAUAUUGGGAAGAACACCGGUGGCGAAGGCGGCUCACUGGCUCAUUACUGACGCUCAGGCGCGACAGCGUGGGGAUCAAACAGG